AGGGCCGAAAAAAAGGUGAGCAAGACCAUUAAUGGGCACGAACACAGUAUUUUAACACACUGGCAAAUACCAAGAACAUUGCAUUGAUCCACGUACUAUGUAAACAAAAUUGGAACUGACUUGAAUACAUAAUUUAUUUUUUAAAAAUCAUAAGUCAUCCUAUGACCCGAACUAGGCUUCUGACGUAAUACAUUACUUCUAAGAAGCUGAAGGGCGAAAAGCUUUUGAACUAGGUAGUCCAGAAUUAGUGAACCAACCGUAUUUUAAUAUGAAUCACCGUGUACUUCUAAUUAGUUUUAA
rnacentral:lncRNA from 1 species